rnacentral:lncRNA from 1 species
GUGCAACUCGCUCCUGAGUGAGUCGGGGGCCGAAAGGGUGCUGCGGCUGGGAAGCCCGGGCGCCGGGGACCUGCGCGCGCUGCCCGGCCUGGCCGGAGCCUGUAGCCCGGGGGCGCCACGGCCGGGCUCGCAGUCCCCCCACGCCGGCCCCCCGGUCCCCGCCGAGCCAGUGUCCUCACCCUGUGGUUUCCUUUCGCUUCUCGCCUCCCAAACACCUCCAGCAAGUCGGAGGGCGCGAACGCGGAGCCAGAAACCCUUCCCCAAAGUUUCUCCCGCCAGGUACCUAAUUGAAUCAUCCAUAGGAUGACAAAUCAGCCAGGGCCAAGAUUUCCAGACACUUGAGUGACUUCCCGGUCCCCGAGGUGACUUGUCAGCUCCAGUGAGUAACUUGGAACUGUCGCUCGGGGCAAGGUGUGUGUCUAGGAGAGAGCCGGCGGCUCACUCACGCUUUCCAGAGAGCGACCCGGGCCGACUUCAAAAUACACACAGGGUCAUUUAUAGGGACUGGAGCCGCGCGCAGGACAACGUCUCCGAGACUGAGACAUUUUCCAAACAGUGCUGACAUUUUGUCGGGCCCCAUAAAAAAUGUAAACGCGAGGUGACGAACCCGGCGGGGAGGGUUCGUGUCUGGCUGUGUCUGCGUCCUGGCGGCGUGGGAGGUUAUAGUUCCAGACCUGGCGGCUGCGGAUCGCCGGGCCGGUACCCGCGAGGAGUGUAGGUACCCUCAGCCCGACCACCUCCCGCAAUCAUGGGGACACCGGCUUGGAUGAGACACAGGCGUGGAAAACAGCCUUCGUGAAACUCCACAAACACGUGGAACUUGAAAAGACAACUACAGCCCCGCGUGUGCGCGAGAGACCUCACGUCACCCCAUCAGUUCCCACUUCGCCAAAGUUUCCCUUCAGUGGGGACUCCAGAGUGGUGCGCCCCAUGCCCGUGCGUCCUGUAACGUGCCCUGAUUGUGUACCCCUCUGCCCGCUCUACUUGAAAUGAAAACACAAAAACUGUUCCGAAUUAGCGCAACUUUAAAGCCCCGUUAUCUGUCUUCUACACUGGGCGCUCUUAGGCCACUGACAGAAACAUGGUUUGAACCCUAAUUGUUGCUAUCAGUCUCAGUCAGCGCAGGUCUCUCAGUGACCUGUGACGCCGGGAGUUGAGGUGCGCGUAUCCUUAAACCCGCGCGAACGCCACCGGCUCAGCGUAGAAAACUAUUUGUAAUCCCUAGUUUGCGUCUCUGAGCUUUAACUCCCCCACACUCUCAAGCGCCCGGUUUCUCCUCGUCUCUCGCCUGCGAGCAAAGUUCCUAUGGCAUCCACUUACCAGGAAGAAAAUUCAAAGACUUUAUGCAAUGCUUAGAAUAAGGAGGAGAGCCUGUCUGCGCCCUGCUCCAGUGACCCUCUCCUGUCUGACACCCACUACUAAACCAGGUCAGUUGCAUCAUACCCUGAAUUCUAGCCUCAAAAUAAAAAUAUAUACUAAAUAAUGGGGAGAAAAGGGAAGAAAAGAAAUGGAAAAUAGGGAACGAGGGUGCAGAGAAGAAGGUGAAUUAUUUAAAAACUAGUGGAAAUGAAGAAGGCAGCGCAGCACUGAUACCUCAGAAUAAUUGAGAGCAACUAGUUAGUUUGGGGCAGAAUUAAGCUCUGGAACAAAAGCAAUUCAGUGGCUUUUCAGACUCCUCCCCAACUCACCUCAAGUCUUAAAUAUACCUGCAAAGGGGUUUGAAAAAACUUGGAGAUUUUCCACAAAUCCUAACUUCUUACGAUGUUAAAAGCACUCAGGAGAUUUUCACGUGUAUACACAUUUCUUUUCUUGUUUAACCCUAUACAGCAGGGAAGAGUGUAAUUUUAUUGUCCAUGGAACAAAUGACCAAUUGCCCCCAAAGCAGACCUGCCCCGGGUAAGAGUGUUGACUUCCUUCAGGCUGGGGACACUGCCCCAAGCUCAUGAUCUACAUUUUUUUUCACUUCAUUCUCACAACAUCCGAAUCAGGUAAGAUCUAGCACAACUUCCAUUUUACAGAUGAGAAAAGAGAGGCAGAGAGAGGUGGAAUAUCUCCCCACUGUCACCCAACUCAUGUGGGACUAGCCAAACUUCUACCUAUUAACCAUUGCUCUAUUACCUUUUCAGGGCAGGAAACCCUACUUCCACCAGACAUGUAUUUGUUUAUUCACUCAGGCAGGUGGUAUGUUGGAAGAAGAGUGGACUUUGGAAUCAGAAAACCUGGAAUCCCAACUUCACCGCUAACCGAGAGACCUUGAGCUGGUUCCUAAACCACGGGGAACUUCAGUUCCACUACAUGAGUUAUUGCAAAGGUUGAAUCGGAAUUGUGACACUGGCCAGCACACGUGUGAAACCAGGGGCAUCCCCUAUUGAUAAGGAGCCCAGCCCAAGAGCUUCAAGGGAAAUUGACCCCAGCCCCAGCUCCACUGAUGGGCUCGAUGAUUCAGAGAGGAAUCUCACUCCCUUGGUCAAAGUGAAUGGCUCAUAAAUCUGGGCCUAAGUCAAUCCGUGCAAGACAUUCCCCUGGCCAUAGGGAUUGGUUAAAAAAUGGACAUGUAACCCAGUUUGGGCUAAAUGAGAUGUGAACAGGAAAGUUAUUUGAUAGCUUCUGAGGAAGGUAGCUUCUCUUCUUUCUAGAGAGCCACUGGAAAGGUAGCCUUUUCUCCUCUGUGUUGUGGAGAGAAAAAAAAAGUGAAACUGUCUCCCUCUCAGCCCACACAGAAGGCUCACACUUGGUGAAGGGAAGGGUGGAGAAGAUUACAGAGAAUAGCCCUGAUGGAACCACACCUGAUUUCUACCUGACCUCUUAAUUUUUUCAUUUGUACAAGUCAGUAAAUGCCUUUUAAUUUUUAAACAAAUAAUUACAGCAACUUAUAGAGGUACCUAAGGUAUUAAGUUACCAUCAUGAAUACAAAGAUAAGCAAGACAAACUUCAAGGGGCUCACCACCUAAUAAAUAUUAUACUUUGCUUUUAUGACAUCAUUUUAGUCUUUUUUGUUGUUUUUUGUUUUUGUUUCUAAAUAGGAUCUUGCUUUAUCACCCAAACUGUAAUGCAGUGGUGUGAUCAUAGCUCACUACAGCCCCGACCUCCUGGGCUCAAGUGAUCCUCUUGCCUCAGCCUCCUAAGGAGCUGGGACUACAGUUGGCCUAUUUUUUUUUUCUUCACAUGACAUCAGGAGAUCAUCAUUGCAACAAGCAACUCAGCUUAGAAGCGCUGGGAUAACUCCGAAAGAGACAUGUGAGACAAGAUGUAGAACUUUGUAUUAGAGUACAAUAAAAUUUAUAAUGCAC